UACGAAGGGGGCUAGCGUUGUUCGGAAUUACUGGGCGUAAAGCGCACGUAGGCGGACAUUUAAGUCAGGGGUGAAAUCCCAGAGCUCAACUCUGGAACUGCCUUUGAUACUGGGUGUCUUGAGUAUGGAAGAGGUGAGUGGAAUUCCGAGUGUAGAGGUGAAAAUUCGUAGAUAUUCGGAGGAACACCAGUGGCGAAGGCGGCUCACUGGUCCAUUACUGACGCUGAGGUGCGAAAGCGUGGGGAGCAAACAGGGAUUAAGAUACCCGGGUGACGU
rnacentral:rRNA from 1 species